rnacentral:rRNA from 1 species
GUGGGGAAUUUUGGACAAUGGGCGAAAGCCUGAUCCAGCCAUGCCGCGUGCAGGAUGAAGGCCUUCGGGUUGUAAACUGCUUUUGUACGGAACGAAAAGACUCCUUCUAAUAAAGGGGGUCCAUGACGGUACCGUAAGAAUAAGCACCGGCUAACUACGUGCCAGCAGCCGCGGUAAUACGUAGGGUGCAAGCGUUAAUCGGAAUUACUGGGCGUAAAGUGUGCGCAGGCGGUUAUAUAAGACAGAUGUGAAAUCCCCGGGCUCAACCUGGGAACUGCAUUUGUGACUGUAUAGCUAGAGUACGGUAGAGGGGGAUGGAAUUCCGCGUGUAGCAGUGAAAUGCGUAGAUAUGCGGAGGAACACCGAUGGCGAAGGCAAUCCCCUGGACCUGUACUGACGCUCAUGCACGAAAGCGUGGGGAGCAAACAGGAUUAGAAACCCCUGUAGUCC